rnacentral:rRNA from 1 species
AUUGAACGCUGGCGGCAGGCUUAACACAUGCAAGUCGAGCGGUGGAAGGUAGCUUGCUACCGGACCUAGCGGCGGACGGGUGAGUAAUGCUUAGGAAUCUGCCUAUUAGUGGGGGACAACAUCUCGAAAGGGAUGCUAAUACCGCAUACGUCCUACGGGAGAAAGCAGGGGAUCUUCGGACCUUGCGCUAAUAGAUGAGCCUAAGUCGGAUUAGCUAGUUGGUGGGGUAAAGGCCUACCAAGGCGACGAUCUGUAGCGGGUCUGAGAGGAUGAUCCGCCACACUGGGACUGAGACACGGCCCAGACUCCUACGGGAGGCAGCAGUGGGGAAUCUUGCGCAAUGGACGAAAGUCUGACGCAGCGACGCCGCGUGGGUGAAGAAGGCCUUCGGGUUGUAAAGCCCUGUCGAGGGGGAAAAACGUUCAUAUGGAUAAUACCUAUAUGGAGUGAUGGUACCUCUAGAGGAAGCACCGGCUAACUCUGUGCCAGCCGCCGCCGUAA